rnacentral:misc_RNA from 1 species
CGAUGAAACAGGAAAAGAAAGAAGAACGGUCAUAAACACGGCGUGAACGUGUUUUCAGUUCAAGGGAGCGCUCUAACCGGUGCGACGCGACGCGGUAAGAGAAUAUCGCGAAUCGUCCUGCUCGGAGGGUGGAUGGCCGUAAUGGUGGGGGUGCGUCGACCGCGAGCGAGUACGAUAAACGUGUACAAGAGAAGGAUAGAAAUGAGGGAGUGGGGGAAGGUCAGAUCGCGCAGGCGUCAGCCCCAAACUUACCACGGGCGAUCAGUCGUGCGUGGCACUUGACACGCGUUACGUCUUUUCGUUUCUUUACCUUGGAUUCUUUUACGGAUCACGUCGCUUUCGUCGCAUUCGCUUGUACUCUGCUUUUCUUUCGCUUUUGCACUGUCUUUUUCCUGUUUCUCUCCUGCCUUUCCUCCGUUCCGUUUCUCUCACUUUUGUCCUUGUUGCUACGCCCUUUUAUACUUUUGUACUUCGUUUUUGUUUUUUCCCCACUUUUUCCUCCCUCCUUUUCUCUCCUCACUUCUCUCUUCCUCUCUCUCCCUCUCUUUCCUUCUGUUCGAAAGGAUCCAACUCGAUUCAACGGUUCGAUGUUGCGUCAACCAGAAUAACAGAUUCGAUCGUUCCGGAUGGAAAUCGUGCUCCUGUCGUAACAUUAUUAAUAUUGUAAGUGGCAUUCAAAGAAAAAUUUAUGACUCUUUUCAUGCUAUUUUUGUGUAAACUUAAUAUGGUGUUGUGUCCUUCGAGUUCUUCAAACUUGAGUUAAAAAUUGUUACUUUUUUCUUUGUUCAGUGGUUUAUACUGACAGGUGUUACAAAUACGAAUCUAGUCAUAUCGAAGAAAUAGCAAGUCGGCCAUGAUUUCAGUGAUUCGGUGAACGAAUGAAACUUGUAUACGGUCAUAUUUUUGCUCGUGCUUUUCGAUAUCAUCUUCGGUGAAGUUUUUUCUCAGUGAUAAGUGUAAUAUUUGUUUGAACUUUGGAAACAUUAUGUGCGGACCAACCACGUGUCUUCGAACGACGAACAACGAAUAUCAGGCAAUAGAAUUUCGAGUUUCAACAGAACCGUCCAUACAUCGUUUCAUCUCGUAUUUUUGAAACUGGAUAUUCUAUUCAUGUAUUUCUCUUGUCACAAUUAUUCUCGAAAACAUCAUUGAUGAACAAUAUUAUCGCCAUUUAACGUUAUAUUUUUUUACAUUAGUUGCUUUUGAUUCGAUGCUAGUGGAAUUUUUAUGGGAAAGAAAAGGAUCGAUAAUCACAAGAUCUCGCUCGCUUCGGAUUCAGCCGCUCAACGUCGACCUUUCACAAUGGCCGCUCGUUUAUGACGAAUCCGGCGCGCAUAAGAAGCGAGCAAAGCGGCGGGGCGGCGGCGGCGUCGUCCGGAAGCGAGGAGCAGAGAAGAAGCGGCGUGGUGCCGGCGCCGGUCCCAACACCGGUCCCGGUGCACGUGCCUCUCGGACCGAGCAGAAAACAGGGGCAAGAGGCCACGUUUCCUUUCGGCCAGGUACGCUCGCACUACGAUCCAAAGUGGCUAAGAGCGUAAGUCCUCACCGAGUGCACCAGGAGUGCUCGAGCGGAGGGGAGGUGCAGGUACAGGUGCAGCAGGAGAGACGAGCACCGAGGCGCAUGCCUUACCUGGGGCCUGAUAUGACAACCCGGCUGUCCGCCAUGUUUUACACGGUCGAAGUCGGGGACACCAGAUUCACCAUUCUCAAGCGGUAUCAGAAUUUGAAGCCGAUCGGUUCCGGGGCACAGGGAAUCGUUUGCGCUGCGUACGACACGGUGACAGCGCAGAAUGUCGCGAUCAAAAAACUCUCGAGACCUUUCCAAAACGUUACGCACGCGAAGAGGGCCUACAGGGAGUUCAAGCUGAUGAAGCUGGUCAAUCACAAAAACAUAAUCGGUUUGUUGAACGCGUUCACGCCACAACGGUCUUUGGACGAGUUUCAAGACGUUUACUUGGUGAUGGAACUUAUGGACGCGAAUCUAUGCCAGGUAAUCCAGAUGGAUCUGGAUCACGAACGUAUGUCUUAUCUGCUUUAUCAAAUGCUGUGCGGCAUCAAACACUUACACUCGGCCGGUAUCAUUCACAGGGAUUUAAAGCCGAGCAAUAUAGUAGUGAAGGCCGACUGUACAUUGAAGAUUCUCGAUUUUGGCCUGGCCAGAACUGCCGGGACCACUUUCAUGAUGACGCCAUACGUUGUGACGCGAUAUUACAGGGCGCCAGAGAGCAACUGGGAACGCCGGCGCAGGAAUUCAUGCAGCGGCUCCAGCCUACGGUCAGGAAUUACGUGGAGAACAGGCCACGGUAUCCGGGAUAUCCGUUCGACAGGUUAUUCCCGGACGUUCUGUUUCCAUCGGACUCGUCGGAACACAACAGGUUGAAAGCUAGUCAAGCCAGGGAUCUAUUGUCGCGCAUGCUCGUGAUCGACCCCGAACGACGCAUCUCCGUCGAUGAUGCUUUACUACAUAAUUACAUAAACGUGUGGUACGACGAGGGCGAAGUCAAUGCCCCUGCACCAGGCCCGUACGACCAUAGUGUCGAUGAGAGGGAGCACACGGUGGACCAGUGGAAAGAGCUGAUCUACCAGGAAGUGAUGGAAUACGAGACGAGCCAUAAUCCCACGACAGUAGCUCAAACGUCCGAGAGCGGCGAAUCCCGGUAGACACGCAAGAACUACUUGCCAUCUUUUUGCGUCAACGACGCAUCUAGACUGUCCGAUCUGUUACACGUACAUAUAUGUAUACACACGCGUACACGUAUCCCUCCCGUACACAACAGGCAUGCAUACACAGAGAGACACACACACACACAAAACCGUAUUUCAAUAUAAGCGUGUGUAUAUCCUAUGUAUGUACGUAUAUAUAUACAUAUAUACAUACACAUAUAUGUAGUAUAUAUAUAUAUUUCGUGGAAAUAUAAAUGAGAUGAGAAAUAAUGAUUAGAAAUCGUUUACGUCCAUGGGAAUGAUGUACGUUAAACGAAGCGCCGUUUUCGUUCGACGAGGCCAGGAAGAAAACAGGCGAGACGAAAUGAAUAAAAUUGGAAGUGAAGAGAAACAGGAAAGAAAUAUGUGUAUGUGUGAGAAAGAGAGAAAGAGAGAGAGAGAGAGAGAGAGAGAUCCAAAGUGAGCGAACGAUAGUGUAUGAAACAAAAAAGGAAAAAGUAAUGACAGAGAUAAAAUGAAAGGAAAAAAAGAUAAUCGACGAGAAAGAGAAAGAUAGAAAAGAUAUGGGGUAAGAGAAAAACGGAGAAAGAGAGAGAGAGA